GUUCACAGGAAGCCACGCGCCCUUCAGAGGCACCUGUCUUUCUUAGUGCACUGCUUCUGGAGCAAGCGGGCACUGCCUCUCAGACCUGCCUUGGAGCCACUUUGAGAAAAGCAAGGGCCUGGAAAAACACAUUUGCUGCUUUUGUGUCAGAUUGGCCCAAGAGUGCCCAGUCACCCAGCCGGGGAGUCCAGGUGCGUUCCAGGUUCUUUUGGCUGGGCUCAGAGCUGCCUUG
rnacentral:lncRNA from 1 species